rnacentral:snRNA from 1 species
GAACCCUGAAAGUCUGUUGUGAAAUUUGUCACCUCAAUGAGGGCCACAGUUGAUUGAGCUCAUCAGGCUGGCUAGGCAAGUGUCUUUUUCCUCCCUGGACAUCCAUGCUUCUCCCCNNCUAGCUACACUCAUUUAGAGGAUGACCUUCCAGAUAAAAGAGGUCAUUCUGUAAUNAAGCGAAUACAAGUAGCCAAACUCCCUUGCUAGAAAUUCUACACAAUCUCACAAAGUCUGUUUUGUAAAAGAACUAAGGGUAGUGUCCAAGACUCUGGAUACAGCCAAAUGAGGAACUGCAUGUGGCAGUCUGCUCUUCAUU